rnacentral:rRNA from 1 species
UACAGAGGUCUCAAGCGUUGUUCGGAUUCAUUGGGCGUAAAGGGUGCGUGGGCGGCGCGGUAAGUCGGGUGGGAAAUCUCGGAGCUUAACUCCGAAACUGCAUUCGAUACUGCCGUGCUUGAGGACUGGAGAGGAGACUGGAAUUUACGGUGUAGCGGUGAAAUGCGUAGAUAUCGUAAGGAAGACCAGUGGCGAAGGCGGGUCUCUGGACAGUUCCUGACGCUGAGGCACGAAGGUCAGGGGAGCAAACGGG